rnacentral:lncRNA from 1 species
AUGGGGCCUUCCCAGGGCACAGCCAGGGACCGUCCCCUGUCCGGUGUCCCCUGUCCAGUGUCCCCUGUCCGGUGUCCCCUGUCCGGUGUCCCCUGUCCGGUGUCCCUUAUCCCAUGUCCUGAGUCCACCCCGUGUCCACCCCAGAUGUCCCUCAUGUGGGUCCAGGUGUCUGCAGCCCAUCUCUGUCCCAUGUCCAUCCCAUGUCCAUCUGUCCAGCUGUGUCCAUCCCCAUGUCCAUCUCCGUGUCCAUCUGUCCAUCCGUGCCGCGUCUGUCUGUCCACGGGUGUCCGUCUGUCCAUCUCUGCCGUGUCCGUCCGUCUGUCCUGGCGUCCAUCAGGCGGGUCCGGGCGCGGCGCCGUCGCCGUCCCUGUCCGCGGGUCCGGCCGCCCACUGCGGCCGCAGGAUGGUUCCGGUGUGGCCCUCGCGGGCCUGGGGCCGCUGCUCCCGCGGGAUGCGCACGGCCCGGAACCGCGGCACGGCCGGGGGCGGGGCGGCCGCCGCCCGCCGGAAAAAACCCAGCUGGGGAGACAGGGCACGGGGAUAUCGCGACAUGGCACCGGGCACAGCGACAUAUCGCGACAUGGCACCGGACAGUGGGAUAUAUCGCGAUAUGGCACCGGGCAGAGUGAGACAUAUCAUGAUAUGGCACCGGGCACAGUGACAUAUCGCGACAUGGCACCGGACAGAGUGAUAUAUCGCGAUAUGGCACCGGGCAGAGUGAGACAUAUCAUGAUAUGGCACAGGACACAGUGACUUAUCGCGAUAUGGCACUGGACAGACUGAGAUAUAUCGCGAUAUGGCACUGGACAGAGUGAUAUAUCGUGAUAAAGCACCAGACAGAGUGAUAUAUUAUGAUAUGGCACCGGGCACAGUGACAUAUCGUGACAUGGCACCGGACAGUGGGAUAUAUUGCGAUAUGGCACCGGGCAGACUGAGAUAUAUCACAAUAUGGCACCGGACAGAGUGAUAUAUCGUGAUAUAGCACCAGACAGUGAUAUAUUAUGAUAUGGCACCGGACAGAGUGAUAUAUCGUGAUAUAGCACCAGACAGUGAUAUAUUAUGAUAUGGCACUGGACACAGUGAGUUAUCGCGACAUGGCAUCAGGCAGUGUGGGGUAUAUCGCAAUAUGCCACCUUGUACCAUGCUGUAUCGCGAUAUGCCGCGCUCUGUGGUGCCAUAUUGCGAUAUACAACGCUGUAUUGUGCCAUAUCGUGCCGUAUCGCGAUAUGUCGUGUUCUAUCGCGCCGUAUCGUGAUAGCAGGGCGUCCCUCACCUUCCAGAGCCCCAGCACGAGCAGCGCCAGCAGCAGCAGCCCCAGCAGCACCGCCAGCGGCAGCACCCACCAGGGCACCGCGGUGACGGCCACGCCUGGGUCCAGGUGCAGGGACACCGACAUCUGCGGGGUCA